GAGAGUUUCUUCCUCAUUAAUCCAGGAGGUUUGGCCAUCCAGGAGCGAGUGGAUGCAGCAAUCAGGUAAACAGGACAGACGUCAUACAAGCAUUAUGUAAACAUCAAUAUAUUCAUUUCUUGGGGAGUAGAGACUAUUUGUCCCUGUGCUCUGCUUUUAAAGAAAAUACAGAGGUUUUCGAUGCAGGACAUUAGCAUUAAAAAUGUUGUAAUUUUAGCAACAUCUUCCUGUUACAUCUUACUUGCGUCAUCACAGACUCUGCUCCCAGAUCAGUUUCCACAGUCCGACCCUCACACACACACACAUACACACUCACUCACAGUGAUGAUUUGGGCCACCAGACACGACAUUCAUCAUCUGUAGAAUUAAACGGACACUUUGCAUAAAAAUCAGAGGCCCUCAAAGAUCUACAGAGCUCACUUUGGAUUUCAAAGCGCCAAAGUGCUCUUUGUGCUGGCUCAUUCUCACAUUUAAUUCAAUCGGUCAGAGCAGAAGAGUGUAAUUACUGCGGAUAAAAGAGACGUGGUCACACUGUAACAGGCUGCUGACCACCCAGCAAACACAAAUUCAAUCAAAGGCUCAGCCAGAGGUGAUCAGACGCUGCAGCUCUAAUCAAAGGAAUCUUAAUAGUCAUGAUAAUCUGAUCAGUCACACCCAAAGAUGAAAUAUUCACAGCUAUGUGGAGCAGACGAGGAGGAAAUUCAUUAAAAAUGAAGAGCUGCAGACAAUGAGAGCUGUGACUCAGCUGCUGUGUCACAGAUCACACCGGGACGGAUGACGUAUCAAAAAGGUAAGACUCAGGUCUAGGGGUUGACCUCAGUUUCCUGAGUUAGGACUAGUCAUGUGACUGACCAUCUUGUAAGUUAGUGAUGGGCAUGGCAGUUCUUUUAGAUGUUCUGAAUCACUAGUGUUAUGGACAGUCAUUCGUUUUGAGUGUUUUCUUCAUGUUUAUUAUUUUUCUGCGGUAAAGUAGCAGUUUAGUUCGACGAUGACGUCACUUCCUGCAAAGACCGGAAGUGGUCGCAGGUCGGGAUUCGCGCGAACGGACGGCCGACAGGGCGUUUAUGGAGUGUUUUCCUCGUUAUCCUCCGUGGUUUUACAAGUCUGUUAAGACGCAUUAUCUGUGAGUAUGUGUUAAUAUGGUUUACAUUGAUGUUAAGAGUGAACUAUUUGGCGAUUUAUGUCUGAAAUUCAUGCCUAUUUUGUAAUGUUUUGUAUUGCAGUUUCACACUGGUUCAGUAAAAAGUCAAACAAGUCCCGGCUUCAACUGCAUUUAUUGAAUCACGUGUUUAAAUGUCUGGAUAACCGCUGGUGAGACCAGUACAAUUAGAAUCAGUUCACUAAAAAGAUUUGCUCAAAAGAUUCGUUUACCAAAUCACCGAAUCAUUUCAUGGGAGAAGUCUGCGACUCCGACCUCCUGAACUGAUACACAGCUGAACAUUUCAUGAUUCAGUUCAGAUCAGUUCAGUUCACAUCUGGGACUGGAAGACAAGAGUGUUUGGCUUUGUUGCUUGUUUAUAAGUCAUGUUUUAAGUGUACUGUCCCAUGGUAUGCUAUUUACCAGGUCUGCUCGGUAAACUGGGCUCAGUGAGUGAUUCGUUCACUUAAAGUUUAGAAGAAUUCACAUUGAACAUGCACCGUUCCCUCACAAACCGCUGCAAAGAUAGGAUGCUGCGGGUUUAAUGCACUAUUUGUUAGGUGCUGUGUCCUAUUGUAUAAAAGUUGUUGUGUGGCAAUUUAGCAGUGAAAUAAUGAUUCCAGAGAGUGCAGUUCAAUGCUUGAUUCAUUCAACAAGUGAUCCAGGCGUCUGUGCAUGUGGUUCCUUGUUUGCCGGCUGCUGGCCUGGCAAUGCUGUUUCUCACUUCAGCUCAAUUGAAAUGAGAAACAAACAAAUUGCUCGAGGAAGUGAUUCGGUUCAUUACGUUCACUUAAAAGAUUCGGUUCUUUUGAACGAAUCGUUCGCAAACAACACAGGAACAGGGACAAGCAACCUUACUGGGACUCUAGAAAGUGCAAAAUGAUGUUGCAGUUACCAGGGAUCACUAGACAUCAAAAGUAAUCAAAAAUAUCUUAGAAUAACUGCAGAUCAUAUUUAGACUGACUGAACAUUAUAAACCUGCAUUUAAAGCUGCGUGUUAGGGCUGAAUUCUGUCUCUAAAAUACACAAUAAGUGGGAAAACUGAUGUUCCAUACCCUCCUCUCUCUAAGACUCAAAUCCAACUCAUUCUGGUCUUUGUUUACAAAAAAGUCACCAGAAAUCUGAUCCGCACAAAUGGCUAGAUUGUUCUGCCUAAACAUAAAAUCCUCCCACUGUUUUUCGGUGCCUUCAUCUUCCCAAAGCACCCUUUGGAGCAACUUUAUGAGACAUACUGAAUCACUAGAUAGCAUCUCUAUCUGAGUAUCUCAUUUUCUGCAACUUUUUCCGAUCCCACACUGUAAUCUUUUAUAGCCUUCAGUAAAGUAUCUCGUAUGGAUUGGUUUGACGUGUUUCCUUUGCUGUGACAAAAAAAAGUACUCCAAAGCUGUCUCUGUUUAUUAUAAUAAGUCUGAAAAUCCAAACUAAGUAUUUUCCAUCGCAUUUAUUUGAUCCCAGAUUGACGUUACUGCAUCAUAAACAUGGACUUAAAACUGUUCAGAAAUGAAACAUAAUGAAUUUUGAACACAAGAUUAAAAACACAUAAAUUGACAGCCCUUACCCUCCUCUCCUCUUGUUAAUAUCCCCUAACCCUGGCAGUCUAUAAGUCUUCUAAGAUCUCCUCUGUGGCAAACACUUACUCUUUGAAUAUCCUAAAGUAAAGCAGAAAGAGGUUUAUAUUAAUGUGGAAACACAUCCCGCCUAUUCUCUGUGAACUUUCUCUGUCAGACCAGUCUUAAAUGAAAUGUCAGUGUUUAUAAGUCUGGACUUUUAUCCACCGUAGAAAUAAAAGAGGUGAUAAAUCACGACUAUUCAGGCUACUCCAGUCACAGCAGCUCCACUUGUUAACAAAUGGAAAAAGAAAGUGUUAUAGGAGGUGGAAAUGGGGUCAUUUUAUCAAUAUUUGACUCUGACUUCUCUGAUUGCUCUGUGAGUGUUUUGUUAUUCCCUUCACUGUCUGAAAGCCACUCAGAGGUUUUUCUCCCAGAGGAUAUUCAAGGAGUCUGUCAUCUUUUGGAGCUGUCUCUGCUCAGCCCACUAUCUGUUUUUGAUAAGUGACUGUGAGGUCCUCUGAGAGUCCGCAAAUCGUUCUGAGAUAUACAAGUUAAACCGGGACUAAAUGGAAGUCUGAGUGUUUCAGAGAAGCAGGGAGGGUCAAGAUAAUAAUUUGGCCUUUAAAGUUAUCCUUUAGGACAGCGACCCCUGCUGACUUGUUUGUACCACAUGAAAACCAGAUGUCUUUCCCCCUUUGAUUUUUCCAGAAUGAUCUGUCUGACUUUUCAGCAUGCGUUUCUUGGAUAAAGUAAAAAUCUACUGGUUUCCUCUGACAAAACAAAAACACCCCUUUCCUUUUUAGAUCAUUUCUAAUCCUUCCCUCAAGGGAAAAGGCUUUUGGGAACAUGAGAAUCAUGAGGUCCUUGAGGUCCAGGGGUGUAGUCAUCUGUCCGGGACUCCUGAGGUUGUGGGUUUGAUCCUUCGCCAGUACUCUGUGAGUUAUUGUAGGUCACUGUUUAAAUAAAACAGGGUGAAAAGUGUUCCUGAACAUAUCAUGAUUAUGUCCACAUGGCUCAGAGAAUAAGAAGUCUGACUGGGACUCCUGAGGUCGUGGGUACAAGCCUUAUCCAGGGUGAGGUAAAUUAAAGUCCAGCAGCCAAAGUGCCAUGAUAAAAGCGUGCAGAGCUCAUCCCCAUGUGCCAAUGGUAUCCAGUGGUGCAGUGCGGUAUACAACUGACACCCAAAUGCCACUCAGGCAGUCAGCCCUUGUUUGAUAUCCGUUCGACACAAAGGAGAUCCUAAAGCAAAUCCUGG